UAUGUGAUCGUCUCUCGCAUAUCAAUAAGCGGAGGAAAAGAAACUAACAAGGAUUCCCCUAGUAACGGCGAGUGAAGCGGGAAGAGCUCAAAUUUGAAAUCUUAGAGGGUUUCCCUUUACGAAUUGUAGUUUAAAGAAGUGUUUUCUGUUGAGGUUUUGGUAAAAGUUCUUUGGAAUAGGACAUCAUAGAGGGUGAGAAUCCCGUAUUUGACCUUUACUUUCAACUUUGUGAUACACUUUCAAAGAGUCGGAUUGUUUGGGAAUGCAGUCCAAAAUGGGUGGUAAAUUUCAUCUAAAGCUAAAUAUUGGCGAGAGACCGAUAGCGAACAAGUACCGUGAGGGAAAGAUGAAAAGAACUUUGAAAAGAGAGUUAAACAGUACGUGAAAUUGUCAAAAGGGAAGCGUUUGACACCAGUGUUGUUUUUCUGAAAAUCAAUUAAGGAACUGUUUAUGCUAAGCUGUUUAGACUUUAUCAGCUAUCUGUUUAGUUUUGAGCUUUUCUUUAAUGCACUUUUCAGUUAACAUGUCAACAUCAAUUUCUUUUGCUGUAAAAAGCUUGAGGAAGGUGGCUUGAGAUUCGUCUUAAGUGUUUAUAGCCUCUUGCCUAUGCAGUCGGAGAGAUUGAGGUCUGCAGCGUAGAUCCUUCGGGGCUAAAUGCGUUUGUGCUAAGUUAUAGCAUUUUAUAGACAACUUGUUGACUAUGAUUUGUCUUGUAGCUUACUCGCUUAUGUUAUUUUACCUACGCUUAGGAUGUUGAACGCGCACAGAGUCUC
rnacentral:rRNA from 1 species